UACGGAGGGUGCGAGCGUUGUCCGGAAUCAUUGGGCGUAAAGGGCGCGUAGGUGGCCCAGUCAGCGUGCGGUGAAAGCUCGGGGCUCAACCCCGAGUCGGCCGUGCGAACUACUGGGCUGGAGCACUGUAGAGGCAGGCGGAAUUCCGGGUGUAGCGGUGGAAUGCGUAGAGAUCCGGAAGAACACCGGUGGCGAAGGCGGCCUGCUGGGCAGUUGCUGACACUGAGGCGCGAAAGCGUGGGGAGCAAACGGG
rnacentral:rRNA from 1 species